UAUCUGGUUGAUCCUGCCAGUAGUCAUACGCUCGUCUCAAAGAUUAAGCCAUGCAUGUGUAAGUAUAACUAAUUGACUUUGAAACUGCGAAUGGCUCAUUAUAUCAGUUAUAGUUUAUUUGGUGAAGGAUACUAAUUGGAUAACCGUAGUAAUUCUAGGGCUAAUACAUGAGUAAAGUCCCAUUGGGAUGUGUUUAUUAGAAUGAAAACCAUAUGCUUCGGCAUGAUAGUGAGUAAUAGUAACCUAUCGUAUCGCAUGCUUAAAGUAGCGAUGAGUCUUUCAAGUUUCUGCCCUAUCAGCUUUCGAUGGUAGCAUAUGGGUCUACCAUGGCAGUUACGGGUAACGAAGAAUUUGGGUUCGAUUUCGGAGAGGGAGCCUGAGAGAUGGCUACCACAUCCAAGGAAGGCAGCAGGCGUGUAAAUUACCCAAUCCUGACACAGGGAGGUA
rnacentral:rRNA from 1 species